GCCGGUGUAGCUCAGUCGGUAGAGCGGCUCACUCGUAAUGAGCAGGUCCGCGGUUCGAAUCCGCGCGCCGGCUCCA
rnacentral:tRNA from 2 species